CGAGCGUCAUUUAAACCAAUCUAGCCUCGUGCUUAGGUCUUGGGCCUUUCGCCUUUGAGCGGGCCUUAAAAUCAGUGGCGGUGCCUCUGGCUCUAAGCGUAGUAAUACUCCUCGCUAUAGACGUCAGGUGGUAUCUUGCCAGUAACCCCUAAUUUUCAAAGGUUGACCUCGGAUCAGGUAGGGAUACCCGCUGAACUUAA
rnacentral:misc_RNA from 1 species